rnacentral:lncRNA from 1 species
UAACAGAACAAUUGCACAAAAACAUUCCUUAGGGGAAACACCCAGAGCAUAUGGGGCUAAAAAAGAAAGAGAGGAAAAGAACUAAAAGAAGAAAAAUAAAAAAAGAAGCACACAACAUAGGUAUAUUGCAUCUGAUCAGGAUCUUAUACACAAUUCAUGCGUGUUCUUAACAAAUGUACAUGUCAAGUAUGUGCACAUACUAGUAGUCUUUAAUAUUUUGUAUAUGUGUUACCGUGCUUUCGCACAUGAAGUCUUUUCUUAAAUCACACUACUGCAUUUACCUACCUGCUUCCUAUGUCUAAGAUGUGUCUUCUUUUCAAGAGACUACCAAACCCACUCUCUGAUGCCAGAGGUUUUCUUUUAGGCUUGGGAUGUCCUUCAUUGAGCUUCUGAUGCUGAGAUGUGUUCUUUGAGCUUUGAUUCAACAGAAGGAUACCAGUCUGGUAAAUGCUGGUUUGAAAAUUUCUGUUUACUGGUCUCAUCCAAGCUGAGAGUCAGUGUUCAAGCAGAGGCACAGUACACAUCUUUAUAGCAGCAUGAAAUGGAAUUUACAGACUUUCUCACAAACUCCUCCCUUGAUAACUGAAGCUUUACUGGCUUUGUUGCACUGGACUUAAUAUAAUUUUAGAUUCUUUCUUCUGUUCUUCAUGAACUGAUUUCUUACUUUGUUGACUGUAUUACUUUGAAAAAUUCUCUGCAGAAGAAAGUUGAGCAGUUAAAAAGGAAUGUCAGCAAUAACAUAUGGCUGCAAAGAAAGAGAAAUACUGUGAAUAAACAGGCAUGUUGUAUGGGAAUGAACAUAACAUGUUCUGUUACUCUGCAGCAGUAGGAAGUCCAGACUCAAGUAUGAAAUUAUAUUCUGGGCAGUGAACUUCAGUAAGUACAUAGACCACCUAGAGAUGACCCAGAGGUGAACAAAAGGAAGAUGAUCAACUACAACAAUUAAAUAUAUGAUCCAAGAGGAAAGGUUGUGUUGCUUUAUUUCACAGAAACACAAACUGAGAAGGGAGAACGUCUUCAAAUGUGCAAAAACAGGUUGCAAAGACAGAAAGAGAGACUGCGACUCUACAGUUGCAGGAUCCUUUGGAGCCCUUCCUCAGGUAACCCUCCAGAGAUGUACUCCUCAUUGUAAGAAGACGGGGAACCUUAGUAAGAGUAAGCAAGAGAAAUGUAAGGGGGAAGUACAUUAAUUGACAAAUAAAAUGUGACAAUGGUUCUCUCUUCCAAUCGAGCCAGACACCAACAUUUGGAGCUCCAGGGUACCAUGAGGUUUCCACUCACCCUGCCUCAUCUCCAUCCAUCCAUGCUCUGGUUUCAUUUCCACACACUGAGAGAAUGUGUACUUGUUUCUAAUUUGAGCAGUGUGGAAUUUACUCACUUCCCACUAGCUUGACCACAACAUGGAUGAGCUUAUCUCUUUAUUCAUCUGUCAAUACAUCACUGGUGAUAGAGAUGAAUCAUGUGAAUCUCCUUUAGUAAUUCAUCUUACUGCUUUCAAAGGUAUUGUUAUAAUCUCUCAGAUAAAUGCUUAAAUGCAUUUCUGUCAUCAGAAGAAAUGUGAUUGCCUCCAGGCUAGAACAGCACCACUGCAUGUAAAAUCCACACAAAAAUCUUGCAUUUUUAUUAACUGAAAAUACAAAAUCUUGUAGCUUCAUUUAUUGCAAAACCAAAAACCUUGUCAUUUCAAUAAUUGCAAAUAACCAUCUAUAAAAGAGAAAAAAACCCCUUUUUUUUCCCUUUCUGAUUUCUAAACUACGCUUCCCGGAAAUCUCAGGUCUGGGGUCAAUGUGCCUAUUUGUGUCUUGCUACCUGGUGCAGUCUCCUGUCAGGGAAACAUCCUGAAAGGCAAAUAGUGCAGAUGUAAGAAUAUAUUUUUUUCCCUCUCAUAGCAAGAAAAUAUUCAAUUUAUUUCAGCAACCAGUAAGAAACUCUGUAAUUGCAGACCUAUGUUUAGGUCAUAUUCGUUAUCUUGUAAUUGAGCCUUUAAACAUUCAUUUUUCUCCUAAGAAUAACUCAUUAACAGACUUGAUAACCAUCUCUUCAUAAAAAUACAGGACUUUACAGGCUUUAUUCAUAUUGAAGUUAUUAAUUUGUUUUAUUGUAUACUGCCUACUAUUUUGAGAUAAAUCUGUG